ensembl:lncRNA
GCUAGAUGUCACUGCUCUGUUCCACUUUGUACAUCUAACAAACAACACCAACCCUACUUAAGUUUUCAUGGAUUCCCGACUGAAUUGAGUCUAAGGAAGAAGUGGAUUCAAGCGGUUCGCCGGGAUGAAGGGCCAAACUUCAAAAUAAAACAAGGUAGCACGUUUGUUUGUAGCCGGCACUUUAGUGAAUCAGACUACAAACGCUACAGCUAGCAACCAACCGGGGUCACAACAAGCAACUGAAAAUCGGGUCUGUACCCUCCCGUUUCCAGUGGAACAACUGGGGACUGCCAAGAAGGGGGUCUGUUUAUAAAAGAGCAUCAACUCGCUUAGGCCAUGACGUUCACUCAGCCCUUCCUCUGGAGCAACCGCUGCCCUGUGAAUAAGAGCCGAUGGAGGAGAUCGCAGCUUCGGUGGUGAUGACAGAACAUGAUUUCGGUUCUGCUCCUAAACCAGAGCUGACUGAACGAAGUGGACUGCUGGAUUUACUGGAGCCAGGAGAUGGCUGCAUGGCAGUCAAGGGUUUCACCAUCGAGAAGCCACUAGCUGAUCGUGGGGCAACGUUGAUUAUACCACCCUUCAAGAUGACAG